rnacentral:rRNA from 1 species
GACGUAGGGCGCGAGCGUUGUCCGGAUUUAUUGGGCGUAAAGAGUGCGUAGGCGGUUCGUUAUGUCUGCUGUGAAAGCCCCGGGCUUAACCCGGGAAUGGCAGUGGAAACUGGCGGGCUUGAGUGUGGCAGAGGGGGGUGGAAUUCCGCGUGUAGCAGUGAAAUGCGUAGAGAUGCGGAGGAACACCGAUGGCGAAGGGCAGCCCCCCUGGGCUAACACUGACGCUGAGGCACGAAAGCGUGGGGAGCAAACAGG